AAAGCAUUGUCUGCAUUUGAUCGAAAAACCGUGGGAUUCGCUUAUAUCUUAAAAGACGGAAAAUUGUAUAUAAUGGACUUUUUCGAAUGAGAAAGCGGUGGCGAGAAAAACAAAAAACUACGGAAGCCUAUUCAGAAUGUGCAUUAACCAGGAACUGUGCAUAGUUUGCAACCUCUGUAUAGACGAUGCAAACAGCAGCAAAGAUUACAUAGCAAUGGUGCAGUUCGAGAAACGGAGCAAGAAAAAAAAAAAAAGUAAUACCAUAUUUAACAGACCAGGUCAGUUCGUUCAUGUGGAAUGUAGAAAAUAGUAUUGUAAUUAAAAUGUAAUUUCCCAGGAUGAAUAACAGAAGAACUAACAAUCUGAAUGUAGGGCAUCAAGAUUCAAACUUAAUUUUUUUUAAAGAACACUGCUUGUUUUGUUUAACCGCCAAAAUGUUUUAAGAACAAAAAGCGGUCAUGCUGUAUUGACUGUUUGGACUU